rnacentral:rRNA from 1 species
AUUGAACGCUGGCGGCAUGCCUUACACAUGCAAGUCGAACGGCAGCACGGGAGCUUGCUCCUGGUGACGAGUGGCGAACGGGUGAGUAAUGCAUCGGAACGUACCCAGUCGUGGGGGAUAACGUAGCGAAAGUUACGCUAAUACCGCAUACGUCCUGAGGGAGAAAGCGGGGGGACCGUAAGGCCUCGCGCGAUUGGAGCGGCCGAUGUCGGAUUAGCUAGUUGGUAGGGUAAAGGCCUACCAAGGCGACGAUCCGUAGCGGGUCUGAGAGGAUGAUCCGCCACACUGGGACUGAGACACGGCCCAGACUCCUACGGAGGCAGCAGUGGGGAAUUUGGACAAUGGGCGAAAGCCUGAUCCAGUUAUGCCGCGUGAGUGAAGAAGGCC